CCCUUAGAUGUUCUGGGCCGCCCGCGCGCUACACUGACGAAGUCAGCGAGCAUGUCCUACGCCGACAGGUGCGGGGAAUCUUGUCAAACUUCGUCGUGAUGGGGAUUGAUUAUUGAAAUUCUUGAUCAUCAACGAGGAAUUCCUAGUAAGCGCAAGUCAGCAGCUUGCGUUGAUUACGUCCCUGCCCUUUGUACACACCGCCCGUCGCUACUACCGAUUGAAUGGUUUAGUGAGAUCUUCGGAUUGGCGCCACUGCGGCUCAGCAAUGGGCUCGGUGGAUGCCGAAAAGUUGAUCAAACUUGAUCAUUUAGAGGAAGUAAAAGUCGUAACA
rnacentral:rRNA from 1 species